CGGGCACUGGGGAAGGACAAACUAGGUCAGGAUGGCGCUCCGCCAUAGCAACGGGAGUGUUGGGGCGUUGCUAAGGAGGCCGGAGGAGGCGGUGCGGGGAUGGCAGCGGCCAAUGUGGCCCCAGCAGAAACCAACUUAUCUCCCACCAUAGACGGCUUGGAAGAAAGUCUGCAGAAACUUAAAGUUCAAGUGGACAGCUUAGCCUCAAGUCUGAGUUUUGACAUGGAUCAAAAUGGUGGCACAGAUUCUGACACUGCAGGCAGCUCAACUACUUUUAGACCUGAAUGGCUAYAAAUUUAUAAUGCAAGCUAUGUGGAGACAGGUCCUGGGAAUACACCUAAGCAGCUUGCAGAGUCAGAGUGGUUUCUAAAGCCUAGGCAUCUAGUCAAAUCUUUAGGUGAUUACCCAGCACUAACAAACUUAAGUCUUCCAGUGUUCUCUGCAUCUGCAGUCAGUCAUGUGGCUGGGCUGGGAAGUGAAACCAUAAGCAAAAAUGAUUUGCUGUUGGAGGAUCUGGUAAAUACCAACUCAUUUCCUGUAAAGCUUGGAGCUCCACAUGUUAUUGGAGUUAAGUCUGUCUUACACCCAAAAGUCCCAGUGAGAACUUGCUCUCAUGAGAGAGUCAGUUCUUUCUUAGACCAAGGUAGCUCUCUGUCUGUUGAAUGUGCAGGGAAUUACCGAUCCCGCUCAUUUUCUCCUGCUUCAAAAAAAAGCCGCUGGCUAAGGUCUCGCUCCCAGUCUCCCAAGUCCAUUUGGAGGCCAAAUUCUGCAAAGGCAAAUGCUUGUGCCCAGCCUCUGCCAAACUGUGGCAGAUUCAGGUGCAGCAGAAAGACAACAGCAUCAACCAGACAGUCGCGAUCUAGAACACACAAACUGGGGUCCCUGGCUGCCAGAUCCCAUACUCCAACUAUGAUGAAUGCAGGGGGAAUACUCAGUUCCUCAUGGAGCCCUUACAGUCUGCCAUCUGCUACUAUGUCCUCACCAGCAGCUCAGGACGUUAAUGAAAGGUGUGCGAUGAGAAGCUCCCAGUUCCAUUAUGAAGCCCACAAGAACAAUGAGUUGCUGAGAGGCAGCCAAGACUUGCAGUCUGCGUGUAACAACAGACCAGAACUGAAGUCAGCAUCCAAGAAACUCCAAGAGCAUUAG
rnacentral:lncRNA from 1 species